UACGGGGGGGGCAAGCGUUGUUCGGAAUUACUGGGCGUAAAGGGCUCGUAGGCGGCCAACUAAGUCAGACGUGAAAUCCCCCGGCUUAACCAGGGAACUGCGUCUGAUACUGGAUGGCUUGAGUUUGGGAGAGGGAUGCGGAAUUCCAGGUGUAGCGGUGAAAUGCGCAGAUAUCGGGAGGAACACCAGUAGCGAAGGCGGCUCGCUGGGCCAUUCCUGACGCUGAGACGCGAAAGCUAGGGGAGCGAACAGG
rnacentral:rRNA from 1 species